AAUCUACUCCUUCCGUUCCAAAUUACUUGUCUCAGGUAUGAAUGUAUCUAAAUGUAUUUUAGUUUCAGAUACAUUCGUUUUUGCAGCGAGUAAUUUGGAACCGAGGAAGUAGAAU
rfam:Triticum urartu cultivar G1812 contig184206, whole genome shotgun sequence.